GUCUUUUUGACUUAAAUAUAAAGUAUAACCUGCCCAUUGAUAUUUUUAAAAGGCUGCGGUAUAUUGACCGUACAAAGGUAGCAUAAUCAUUAGUUUUUUAAUUGAGAACUUGUAUGAAUGGUUGAAUGAGAAAUGAACUUUUUUAAUAAAAAAAUUGAAUUUUACAUUUUAAUUAAAAGGUUGAAAUAUAUUUAAAAGACGAGAAGACCCUAUAGAGUUUUAUAAUUUAUAUUUAAUAUUAAAAAAAAUUAAUAGAUAUUUUUAUUUAAAUAAUUAUUUUGUUGGGGUGAUGAUAAAAUUUAACUAACUUUUAUUUUUUUUUACAUUAAUAUAUGGGAAAUUGAUCCACUAUUAGUGAUUAAAAGAUUAAAUUACCUUAGGGAUAACAGCGUAAUUUUUUUUUUAAGUUCAUAUUAAUAAAAAAUUUUGCGACCUCGAUGUUGGAUUAAGAUUUAAUUUUAGGUGCAGAAGUUUAAAAUUUAAGUCUGUUCGACUUUUAAAUUCUU
rnacentral:rRNA from 1 species